rnacentral:rRNA from 1 species
UGGGGAAUUUUGCACAAUGGGGGAAACCCUGAUGCAGCGACGCCGCGUGAUUUAGAAGGCCUUCGGGUUGUAAAAAUCUUUUUUAUGGGAAGAAAAUGACAGUACCAUAGGAAUAAGGACCGGCUAAUUACGUGCCAGCAUCCGCGGUAAUACGUAAGGUCCGAGCGUUGUCCGGAAUCAUUGGGCGUAAAGGGUACGUAGGCGGGUAAGCAAGUUAGAAAUGAAAUCCUGUAGCUCAACUACAGUAAGCUUUUAAAACUGCUCAUCUGGAGAUAUGGAAGGGAAAGUGGAAUUCCUAGUGUAGCGGUAAAAUGCGCAGAUAUUAGGAGGAAUACCGGUGGCGAAGGCGACUUUCGGGCCAAAAUCUGACGAUGAGGUACAAAAGCGUGGGUAGCAAACAGG